rnacentral:rRNA from 1 species
UCCGUAGGGGGCAAGCGUUGUCCGGAAUCAUUGGGCGUAAAGAGCGCGUAGGCGGCCCGAUAAGUCCGCUGUGAAAGUCAAGGGCUUAACCCUUGAAUGCCGGUGGAAACUGUCGGGCUAGAGUCCGGAAGAGGCGAGUGGAAUUCCUGGUGUAGCGGUGAAAUGCGUAGAUAUCUGGAGGAAUACCGGUGGCGAAGGCGGCAUCCUGGACCAUUACUGACGCUGAGGCGCGAAAGCUAGGGGAGCAAACGGG